rnacentral:rRNA from 1 species
UAGUUGGUGGAGUGAUUUGUCUGGUUAAUUCCGAUAACGAACGAGACCUCUACUUGCUAAAUAGCAAUAACAACACACGUUGUCAUAUGCCUUCUUAGAAGGACUUUGCAUAUCUAAUGCAAGGAAGUUGGAGGCAAUAACAGGU